AUUGAACGCUGGCGGCAGGCCUAACACAUGCAAGUCGAGCGGGGACUUCGGUCCUAGCGGCGAACGGGUGAGUAAUGCUUGGGAAUCUGCCCAGUAGUGGGGGAUAACGUCCCGAAAGGGACGCUAAUACCGCAUACGUCCUACGGGAGAAAGAGGGGGAUCUUGGACCUCUCGCUAUUGGAUGAGCCCAAGUCGGAUUAGCUAGUUGGUAGGGUAAUGGCCUACCAAGGCGACGAUCCGUAGCUGGUCUGAGAGGAUGAUCAGCCACACUGGAACUGAGACACGGUCCAGACUCCUACGGGAGGCAGCAGUGGGGAAUAUUGGACAAUGGGCGAAAGCCUGAUCCAGCCAUGCCGCGUGUGUGAAGAAGGCCUUCGGGUUGUAAAGCACUUUAAGCGGGGAGGAAGGUUCGCGGCCUAAUACGUCGCGGAAUUGACGUUACCCGCAGAAUAAGCACCGGCUAACUCUGUG
rnacentral:rRNA from 1 species